AUUGAACGCUGGCGGCAUGCCUUACACAUGCAAGUCGAACGGUAACGGGCCUUCGGGUGCCGACGAGUGGCGAACGGGUGAGUAAUACAUCGGAACGUGCCCGAUCGUGGGGGAUAACGAGGCGAAAGCUUUGCUGAUACAGCACACGAUCUACGGUUGAACGCCGGGGACCGCAAGGCCUCGCGUGGGCGGAGCGGCCGAUGGCGGACUAGGUAGUUGGUGGGAUAAUGGCUUACCAAGCCGACGAUCUGUAGCUGGACUCAGAGGAUGAUCAGCCACACUGGGGCUGAGACACGGCCCAGACGCCUACGAGAGGCAGCAGAGGCGAAUUGUGGACAAUGGGCGCAAGCCUGAUCCAGCCAGGCCGCGUGCAGGAUGAAGGCCUUCGGGUUGUAAACUGCUUUUGUACGGAACGAAAAGCCUUCUUUUAAUACGGGGGGGUCGUGACGGUACCGUAAGAAUAAGCACCGGCUAACUACGUG
rnacentral:rRNA from 1 species